GAUGAACGCUGGCGGCGUGCCUAAUACAUGCAAGUCGAGCGAACAGACGAGGAGCUUGCUCCUCUGACGUUAGCGGCGGACGGGUGAGUAACACGUGGAUAACCUACCUAUAAGACUGGGAUAACUUCGGGAAACCGGAGCUAAUACCGGAUAAUAUAUUGAACCGCAUGGUUCAAUAGUGAAAGACGGUUUUGCUGUCACUUAUAGAUGGAUCCGCGCCGCAUUAGCUAGUUGGUAAGGUAACGGCUUACCAAGGCAACGAUGCGUAGCCGACCUGAGAGGGGGUUAGGCCAAACGGGACGUGGGCCGCGGUCAAGACUCCUACGGGAGGCAGCAGAGGGGAAUCUUCGGCAAUGGGGGAAAGCAUGACGGAGCAACGCGCCGUGGGCGAUGAAGGCGUUGGGAUCGUAAAACUCUGUUAUAGGGGAAGAAAAAAUGUUUAGGUAACUAUGCUGGUCUGGACGGUACCUAAUCAGAAAGCCACGGCUAACUACGUG
rnacentral:rRNA from 1 species